rnacentral:lncRNA from 1 species
GCCUCUACGUAAAAUAUGUUUUUGACCUAUCAAGAAUAAGAAUUUUAAGUGGGAUGUGCCAUAUAACUUGUCUUGUUUGUGAAAGCUUUUCCUGUUUUAUAAUAAUGAUUCUAUGAUAAUAAUGGUGUUUGUUUAUUUCUGUUAUGUAUUUUUUAUAUUUAUAUCACUAUUUCAAAAAUCUGUUGGACGAAUCCAGUGCGACAAUGGAGAAACUAUUUCAAUGUCUAUGUUUAAGGACUGUCAUAUUGAAUUACAUAGUAUCUUAGAACUUAUAUGUAAUUUAUUUUCGCCAAAUAUGGAUUUAAAUAUUGCUGGUGAGUAGACAUUUAUCUAUUUUAAAAAGACUUUACUCGAUACUGCAAUGGAAUAUUCGAAGAUAAUUAUAAAUAUUGCUUUUAUUUAUUUAUAAAUAUAUGAAUUCUAUCAUUUUUCGUCCUUUAAAUUAGUUAUAAUUGUUCGACUUUCAUAGGUUAUUAAUCAAAUCAUAAAUAAAAUCAUUCUUCUAUAUUUACAAUAAUUUAAAAUGAUUUAUUCAAUUAAUUGAUGUGAUACUGUUUCCCAGAAUAAUUAUGAAAAAACGUGGCUUCCAUUUAUAAAUAUAUGAAUUUGAUACUUUUUUCGCGUUAGUCUUUAUAUAAGAUAUAAAAAAAAUUAAAUAUAUCACUUUAAAUUUUAAUCAUUGCAUUUAAAUAAAGUGAUAUGGAACGAGAUAAUAGUUCAAAGAUAUAAUAAGUCAGACACAAAAUACUUAAUUAAUCUUCAAUUAUUGGACCUUUUAAAUUGAAGCUUUUAUUAAAAUAUUUGAAGAUUUCAGAAAAAAACACACUAUAAAGUGUAAACAAUAUCUAAUUUCAUAUAACUUUCCCUUUUCGUUCACGUAUUAUCAUGUAUUUGAAAAUUAAUUCAUUAACUAUUAUCCGAACUGAACUUCAAAACUAUACAUAGAGUUACAUUUAAGGUUAAACUGAGGCACUAUGUUUCUUAUAUACUAAUUAUGUAUACCAGGAAAUGUUAACAAUGGUAUAAUUGUCAUUCCAGGUGCUCCGGUUGUUGGAGAUAGAUUAAAUGCCACAGAAAGACUGGUUUGUGGUUGUUGUAUGAAUGAUUGUAGUUUAACUGAACUUAGGAACUAUUGUUGGUUGCAAAAUAUGAAGCUGUGACUUUAUUAUGAAUUUCUAUUUUUAUAUACACAUGUUAAAAAUUGUUUGACAAUUCUUAUUUUAUCUGUUCACUUUUAAAGAAAAAUAAAAUUUACUGGUUGCCAAAAUCCAUUUAUAUGUAUUUUUUUAUUUACUACCACUGGGUCGAAGCCACUGCUGGUGGAGAUUUAUUUCCCCGAGGGUAUCACCAGCCCAGUAGUCAGCACUUUUCUGCUGACAUGAAUUAUCAUUGAUAUGGUUAUAUUUAUCAAUUAACUGCUUACAAAAUUUAGAAUUUUUUAAAUACAAAGGAUUUUCUACCUCAGGCAUAGAUUACCGUAGCUGUAUUAAUGCUCUUCAACUUCGUAUUUUUUGUUUGGACUUUUCAACUCCUUUGGAUUCGAGCGUCACUGAUGCGUCUUUUGUAGACGAAACGCGCAUCUGCCGUAGAUACAAAAUUUAGUCCUGGUAUCUAUGAUGAGUUUAGAUUCUAUGUGAAUGUAUCAGCAAGUAAAAUAAAAAUGAAUAAAUAAAUAUUUUUUGUAUUUACAUAUAUUUAUAUAUAUUCAUAUAUUACCAUCGAACUUUUAAAAUUCAUAUUUUUUCAACGGGCGC